UUUUUUUCUAAAACUUACUGUGGGGGAUGGACACUGUCAUAUAAUCUUAGAUUAUAUUCAUCGAGCUGAAAAAAAUAAUCAUUUAAAAUGUAUUCAAGGUAGGAACAAGGUCUUUGUAAUGAAUGCUAUGACAUAAAAUUCACACAACUCAAGCCUUGAGCGGCUUUCCUGAUGCUAACGCUCUAUGCAUUUUCUUUAUGUGCAUGUGGGUUAAUUUUGGGUGCCAAUGUAAGUACAUUUAUAAUAUAUGAAAAGACAAUCCUGUGAGGGACUGAUUGGAUCAUCUGAGCUGCGAAGAUGCACCCUAAAUCUGGGCCACACCCCCUGGGGCAGCACGCCCCCUGGUGGCAGCACAGUCCACAUCAAAGGACAUGGAAGAAGGAAGCUUUCACUUUUUACCUGUUUGCCCUCACUCUGGCUGGCAAGUUCAACUAUCCUGUUGCUGAGACACUCCUUCACUGGUGUUAGAACCUGCUUCUUUGGAAUUCCAAUAUAGACUGAAGACCAGCAACUCUCUAGGACGUUCCUGGGACUUUAGCAACCUACUGAGACGGCUAAGAUAUUUAGUCUCUCGGACUGAACAACUACUGGAUUCUAGGCCUUUCCACUGCAACACAGCUAAUAUUGAACUAGUCAAACAAUAUUGCCUAUAAGCCACUUAGAUAAAUCCCCAUGUGAGUGUGUGUGUGUGCAUGCAUAUAUGAAUCCACAUAUAUAUAUAUAUGAAUCCAUAUAUAUAUAUAUGUAUAUAUAUACAUACACACAUAUAUAUGUGUGUGUGUGUGUAUGCAUAUAUACAUAUUUAGGGGAAUUUUUCAUAGAUAUUAUAUGUACACACAUGUAACUUAUUCUACAGUUCUAUUCCUUGAGAAAAGUCUAACACCACACACACACACAAUCAUCAUCAUCUUCAAAUAAUUUUAAAUAAACACUGCUUGA
rnacentral:lncRNA from 1 species